UGAGGUUGUAUCAUCGUGAAUGAUCAUGGAUCAGUCAGAAAUAGGGUUGAAAAAUCAAUCGGAGAAAAUUGAAUAAAAUUGCAACAAUCUUUAACAAUUUGAAUAAAAGUAUCAAAACUGAAAAUGAUAAACAAAAUUUGAAAAGAAAAAACCAAAAAUUUAAGUUUUUUAUUGUUAAAUCGUGUUAUUGUGUUUUAAUAAUUGUUUUCGGAGUGAAAUUUCUCUCUCUUCUUUAUCCCCCUUUGUCUUGUCAGCUUAUCUGCCCUCUACCCCACUUGCUUUCCGUUUUCUCUUAGCCUUCUAGUUUGUAAGUAUUGAAUUUGAUUUGUAUGCAACCAUAACAAUAAAACCCACAAUAAUUUUAGCUAGUGAGAUGAUCUCUCUUACUGUUUACACUCAAAAUUUCCUCUUAAGAAUCAACGAAAAAAGAAUAACUAGUGGCAAAGAUUGUUGACAAAAAGGAGACCCCGGACAGAAGAAAUAAGGAAGUCACAGGUUGAUAGAUGGGGGACUACAUGAAUGAUUAUAAAAGGCCAACUCGGCCAAGCUGUUAGCUUUAGAAUAUUCUGUAACCAUAAGAAUGUGUGUCCAGGAGGAUUUCAUGCCAAGGCCACCUUGAUUUCUUACUAUUAGAACUGAAUGGUUAGAAGAAGCAACAUAAUUUUUUUUGAUAAGCAAAAAAAUUUUGUUAGUAAAAGAUUUUAGUUGGAAAAACUUAGCAUAGUCGUCUCCAGACUGAACCCAGCCAACAGGCUUCCUCUUUACAUCCAACCUAGGCACU
rnacentral:misc_RNA from 1 species